UACGUAGGGGGCAAGCGUUGUCCGGAUUUACUGGGCGUAAAGAGCGUGUAGGCGGCCAAGCAGGUCCGUUGUGAAAACUGGAGCUUAACCUCCAGACGUCGACGGAAACCGCGUGGCUAGAGUCCGGAAGAGGAGAGUGGAAUUCCAGGUGUAGCGGUGAAAUGCGUAGAUAUCUGGAGGAACACCGGUGGCGAAGGCGGCUACUCGUCGGGACUACAUUGACCGGCUGAGGCGCGAAAGCGUGGGGAGCAAAACAGG
rnacentral:rRNA from 1 species